rnacentral:rRNA from 1 species
CCUACGGCGAGCAGCAGUGGGGAAUAUUGGACAAUGGGCGAAAGCCUGAUCCAGCCAUGCCGCGUGUGUGAAGGAGGCCUUCGGGUUGUAAAGCACUUUCAGUGGGGAAGAAAGCCUUGGGGCUAAUACCCUCGAGGAAGGACAUCACCCACAGAAGAAGCACCGGCUAACUCCGUGCCAGCAGCCGCGGUAAUACGGAGGGUGCGAGCGUUAAUCGGAAUUACUGGGCGUAAAGCGCGCGUAGGCGGUCUGAUAAGCCGGUUGUGAAAGCCCCGGGCUCAACCUGGGAACGGCAUCCGGAACUGUCAGGCUAGAGUGCAGGAGAGGAAGGUAGAAUUCCCGGUGUAGCGGUGAAAUGCGUAGAGAUCGGGAGGAAUACCAGUGGCGAAGGCGGCCUUCUGGACUGACACUGACGCUGAGGUGCGAAAGCGUGGGUAGCAAACAGGAUUAGAUACCCCUGUAGUC